AUUGAACGCUGGCGGCAUGCCUUACACAUGCAAGUCGAACGGCAGCACGGGUGCUUGCACCUGGUGGCGAGUGGCGAACGGGUGAGUAAUACAUCGGAACAUGUCCUGUAGUGGGGGAUAGCCCGGCGAAAGCCGGAUUAAUACCGCAUACGAUCCACGGAUGAAAGCGGGGGACCUUCGGGCCUCGCGCUAUAGGGUUGGCCGAUGGCUGAUUAGCUAGUUGGUGGGGUAAAGGCCUACCAAGGCGACGAUCAGUAGCUGGUCUGAGGGGACGACCAGCCACACUGGGACUGAGACACGGCCCAGACUCCUACGGGAGGCAGCAGUGGGGAAGUUUGGACAAUGGGCGAAAGCCUGAUCCAGCAAUGCCGCGUGUGUGAAGAAGGCCUUCGGGUUGUAAAGCACUUUUGUCCGGAAAGAAAUCCUUGACUCUAAUACAGUCGGGGGAUGACGGUACCGGAAGAAUAAGCACCGGCUAACUACGUG
rnacentral:rRNA from 1 species